rnacentral:rRNA from 1 species
ACUCCUACGGGAGGCAGCAGUGAGGAAUAUUGGUCAAUGGGCGGAAGCCUGAACCAGCCAUGCCGCAUGCAGGAUGACGGCCCUACGGGUUGUAAACUGCUUUUCCGGGGGAAGAAUAAGGCCCAUGCGUGGGCCGAUGCCGGUACCCCGGGAAUAAGGAUCGGCUAACUCCGUGCCAGCAGCCGCGGUAAUACGGAGGAUCCUAGCGUUAUCCGGAUUUACUGGGUUUAAAGGGUGCGUAGGCGGGCGUUUAAGUCCGCGGUGAAAGUCUGCGGCUCAACCGUAGGACUGCCGUGGAUACUGGGCGCCUUGAAUUCGGUCGAGGCGGGCGGAAUGCGUGGUGUAGCGGUGAAAUGCUUAGAUAUCACGCAGAACGCCGAUAGCGAAGGCAGCUCGCCGGGCCGAUAUUGACGCUGAGGCACGAAAGCGUGGGGAUCAAACAGGAUUAGAUACCCUGGUAGUC